rnacentral:rRNA from 1 species
AAUAUUGCACAAUGGGCGAAAGCCUGAUGCAGCGACGCCGCGUGAGGGAUGACGGCCUUCGGGUUGUAAACCUCUUUCAGUAGGGACGAAGCGCAAGUGACGGUACCCACAGAAGAAGCACCGGCCAACUACGUGCCAGCAGCCGCGGUAAUACGUAGGGUGCGAGCGUUGUCCGGAUUUACUGGGCGUAAAGAGCUCGUAGGCGGUUUGUCACGUCGUCUGUGAAAACCCGAGGCUUAACCUCGGGCCUGCAGGCGAUACGGGCAGACUUGAGUACUGUAGGGGAGACUGGAAUUCCUGGUGUAGCGGUGGAAUGCGCAGAUAUCAGGAGGAACACCGGUGGCGAAGGCGGGUCUCUGUGCAGUAACUGACGCUGAGGAGCGAAAGCGUGGGUAGCGAACA